CCCUUGUCUUUAGUUGCCAUCAUUAAGUUGGGCACUCUAGAGAGACUGCCAGGGAUAACCUGGAGGAAGGUGGGGAUGACGUCAAAUCAUCAUGCCCCUUAUGCUUAGGGCUACACACGUGCUACAAUGGGUAGUACAGAGGGUUGCCAAGCCGUAAGGUGGAGCUAAUCCCUUAAAGCUACUCUCAGUUCGGAUUGUAGGCUGAAACUCGCCUACAUGAAGCUGGAGUUACUAGUAAUCGCAGAUCAGAAUGCUGCGGUGAAUGCGUUCCCGGGUCUUGUACACAC
rnacentral:rRNA from 1 species